rnacentral:rRNA from 1 species
GCAAGUCGAACGGACCCUUCAGGGUUAGUGGCGGACGGGUGAGUAACACGUGGGAACGUGCCUUUAGGUUCGGAAUACCUCCUGGAAACGGGUGGUAAUGCCGAAUGUGCCCUUCGGGGGAAAGAUUCAUCGCCUUUAGAGCGGCCCGCGUCUGAUUAGCUAGUUGGUGAGGUAACGGCUCACCAAGGCGACGAUCAGUAGCUGGUCUGAGAGGAUGACCAGCCACACUGGGACUGAGACACGGCCCAGACUCCUACGGGAGGCAGCAGUGGGGAAUCUUGCGCAAUGGGCGAAAGCCUGACGCACCCAUGCCGCGUGAAUGAUGAAGGUCUUAGGAUUGUAAAAUUCUUUCACCGGGGACGAUAAUGACGGUACCCGGAAAAGAAGCCCCGGCUAACUUCGUGCCAGCAGCCGCGGUAAUACGAAGGGGGCUAGCGUUGCUCGGAAUUACUGGGCGUAAAGGGCGCGUAGGCGGAUCGUUAAGUCAGAGGUGAAAUCCCAGGGCUCAACCCUGGAACUGCCUUUGAUACUGGCGAUCUUGAGUAUGAGAGAGGUAUGUGGAACUCCGAGUGUAGAGGUGAAAUUCAUAGAUAUUCGGAAGAACACCAGUGGCGAAGGCGACAUACUGGCUCAUUACUGACGCUGAGGCG